AGUGGGGAAUAUUGCACAAUGAGGGAAACCUUGAUGCAGCCAUGCCGCGUGUGUGAAGAAGGCCCGAGGGUUGUAAAGCACUUUUAGUAAGGAGGAAAGGUAAGUUGCUAAUAUCAGCUUACUGUGACGUUACUUACAGAAAAAGCACCGGCUAAUUCUGUGCCAGCAGCCGCGGUAAUACAGAGGGUGCAAGCGUUAUUCGGAAUAACUGGGCGUAAAGCGCGCGUAGGCGGACUGUUAAGUCAGUUGUGAAAGCCCAGGGCUCAACCUAGGAACUGCAUCCGAUACUGGCAAUCUAGAGUUUAAGAGAGGCAAGGGGAAUUCCAGGUGUAGCAGUGAAAUGCGUAGAUAUCUGGAGGAACAUCAGUGGCGAAGGCGCCUUGCUGGCUUAAAACUGACGCUGAGGUGCGAAAGCGUGGGUAGCGAACGGGAUUAGAUACCCCGGUAGUCCACGCCGUAAACGAUGGAUACUAGGUGUAGGGAUCUAAGAAGGUCUCUGUGCCGCAGCAAACGCAAUAAGUAUCCCGCCUGGGGAGUACGACCGCAAGGUUG
rnacentral:rRNA from 1 species